rnacentral:misc_RNA from 1 species
AAACUGCGAUAAGUAGUGUGAAUUGCAUUUAGUGAAUCAUCGAAUCUUUGAACGCACCCUGCACUCACUGGUAUUCCGGUGAGUACGCCUGUUUCAGUAUCUUUGAAAACACACAAUCAAAACAUUUUCUUUGGUUUGAUUGGCUUUGGGUCUAUCAAAAAGUUUGGCUUGUUUCUUACAAGCCAAGCGGCCUGAAAUAUAUUGUCUGGCUAAUUGCAUCGUUGAUGAUCGCUAUUAGACUUUGGCUUUUUUAAAUGAACUGGAGGUUGAUUAACCAGUUUUAGCUUUAGUCAAAUGGUCAUUGUAAAAAAAAUCUCGAUCUUGGCUAGGUGUUUAUAGCCGAAAAUUUUUUUUUGGCUAUAACCGAAACCAAUAUAAUCACAUUUAGUUAUCGAUCUGAAAUCAGGUGGGACUACCCGCUGAACUUAAGC